GUGAGGAAUUUUCCGCAAUGGGCGAAAGCCUGACGGAGCAAUGCCGCGUGAAGGAUGAAGGCCUAUGGGUUGUAAACUUCUUUUCUCAGAAAAGAAUUAUGACGGUAUCUGAGGAAUAAGCAUCGGCUAACUCUGUGCCAGCAGCCGCGGUAAGACAGAGGAUGCAAGCGUUAUCCGGAAUGAUUGGGCGUAAAGCGUCUGUAGGUUGUUUAAAAAGUAUUCUGUCAUAAAUUAGGGCUUAACCCUAGAUAGGCAGAAUAAACUUUUAAGCUAGAGUUUGGUAGAGGCAGAGGGAAUUCCCGGUGGAGCGGUGAAAUGCGUAGAUAUCGGGAGGAACACCAAAGGCGAAGGCACUCUGCUGGGCCAAUACUAACACUGAGAGACGAAAGCGAGGGGAGCAAAUGGGAUUAGAUACCCGGGUAGUCC
rnacentral:rRNA from 1 species